rnacentral:rRNA from 1 species
AAUAUAUCGGAACGUACCCUAGAGUGGGGGAUAACGUAGCGAAAGUUACGCUAAUACCGCAUACGAUCUAAGGAUGAAAGUGGGGGAUCGCAAGACCUCAUGCUCGUGGAGCGGCCGAUAUCUGAUUAGCUAGUUGGUAGGGUAAAAGCCUACCAAGGCAUCGAUCAGUAGCUGGUCUGAGAGGACGACCAGCCACACUGGAACUGAGACACGGUCCAGACUCCUACGGGAGGCAGCAGUGGGGAAUUUUGGACAAUGGGCGAAAGCCUGAUCCAGCAAUGCCGCGUGAGUGAAGAAGGCCUUCGGGUUGUAAAGCUCUUUUGUCAGGGAAGAAACGGUGAGAGCUAAUAUCUCUUGCUAAUGACGGUACCUGAAGAAUAAGCACCGGCUAACUACGUGCCAGCAGCCGCGGUAAUACGUAGGGUGCAAGCGUUAAUCGGAAUUACUGGGCGUAAAGCGUGCGCAGGCGGUUUUGUAAGUCUGAUGUGAAAUCCCCGGGCUCAACCUGGGAAUUGCAUUGGAGACUGCAAGGCUAGAAUCUGGCAGAGGGGGGUAGAAUUCCACGUGUAGCAGUGAAAUGCGUAGAUAUGUGGAGGAACACCGAUGGCGAAGGCAGCCCCCUGGGUCAAGAUUGACGCUCAUGCACGAAAGCGUGGGGAGCAAACAGGAUUAGAUACCCUGGUAGUCCACGCCCUAAACGAUGUCUACUAGUUGUCGGGUCUUAAUUGACUUGGUAACGCAGCUAACGCGUGAAGUAGACCGCCUGGGGAGUACGGUCGCAAGAUUAAAACUCAAAGGAAUUGACGGGGACCCGCACAAGCGGUGGAUGAUGUGGAUUAAUUCGAUGCAACGCGAAAAACCUUACCUACCCUUGACAUGGCUGGAAUCCUCGAGAGAUUGAGGAGUGCUCGAAAGAGAACCAGUACACAGGUGCUGCAUGGCUGUCGUCAGCUCGUGUCGUGAGAUGUUGGGUUAAGUCCCGCAACGAGCGCAACCCUUGUCAUUAGUUGCUACGAAAGGGCACUCUAAUGAGACUGCCGGUGACAAACCGGAGGAAGGUGGGGAUGACGUCAAGUCCUCAUGGCCCUUAUGGGUAGGGCUUCACACGUCAUACAAUGGUACAUACAGAGCGCCGCCAACCCGCGAGGGGGAGCUAAUCGCAGAAAGUGUAUCGUAGUCCGGAUUGUAGUCUGCAACUCGACUGCAUGAAGUUGGAAUCGCUAGUAAUCGCGGAUCAGCAUGUCGCGGUGAAUACGUUCCCGGGUCUUGUACACACCGCCC